AGUGAACGCUGGCGGUAGGCCUAACACAUGCCAGUCGAACGGCAGCACAGUAAGAGCUUGCUCUUACGGGUGGCGAGUGGCGGACGUGUGAGGAAUACAUCGGAAUCUACUUUUUCGUGGGGGAUAACGUAGGGAAACUUACGCUAAUACCGCAUACGACCUACGGGUGAAAGCAGUGGAUCUUCGGACCUUGCGCGAUUGAAUUAGCCGAUGUCGGAUUAGCUAGUUGGCGGGGUAAAGGCCCACCAAGGCGACGAUCCGGAGCUCGUCUGAGAGGAUGGUCAGCCACACUGGAAGUGAGACACGGUACAGACGCCUACGGGAGGGAGCAGUGGGGAAAAGGGGAGAAGGGGCGGAAGCCUGAGCAAGACAGACCGAGGGGGGGAAGAGGGCCUUCGGGUUGGAAAGCCCGUUUGUUGGGAAAGAAAAGCAGCAGGUUAAUACCCAGCUGUUCUGAAGGUAAACAAAGAAUAAGCACCGGCUAAAUUAGUG
rnacentral:rRNA from 1 species